rnacentral:tRNA from 1 species
UAUUAAAAAAGCAUAUAUGCGCUUAAGUUUCGACCUUAAGAGAAGGCUUUGUCCUAUUAAUAA